GAUGGCCUAAUGGCUAGAGCGUCCGCCUCGGAUGCGGAAGGUCGCUGGCUAGAACCCCAGCCAAGUCA